rnacentral:rRNA from 1 species
GGAGUUAGCCGGUGCUUCUUCUGUGAGUGAUGUCCUUCCUGCCGGCUAUUAACCCGCAGGCCUUCUUCCUCACUGAAAGUGCUUUACAACCCGAAGGCCUUCUUCACACACGCGGCAUGGCUGGAUCAGGGUUGCCCCCAUUGUCCAAUAUUCCCCACUGCUGCCUCCCGUAGGAGUCUGGGCCGUGUCUCAGUCCCAGUGUGGCUGAUCAUCCUCUCAGACCAGCUACGGAUCGUCGCCUUGGUGAGCCGUUACCUCACCAACCAGCUAAUCCGACAUAGGCUCAUCCGAUAGCGCGAGGCCCGAAGGUCCCCCGCUUUCCCCCGUAGGGCGUAUGCGGUAUUAGCCUGGGUUUCCCCAGGUUAUCCCCCACUACCGGGCAGAUUCCUAUGCAUUACUCACCCGUCCGCCGCUCGCCACCAGGGAGCAAGCUCCCCGUGCUGCCGCUCGACUUGCAUGUGUUAGGCCUGCCGCCAGCGUUCAAUCUGAGCCAGNGANACAACUCGUCGACGUAGACGGCGGCGUCGGACGACGGCGCUAG